rnacentral:lncRNA from 1 species
GAGUGAGUAUAAAAUUUUGCAAAUCAUAUAAAAUAAUCGUAACUCGGAUAAAAAUAUUUUAUGCAUGUAAAUUGCUUAGAAAAAUCCAACGAAUCUGAAUACGCUAUCCAUUCACGUGUCACAUGCCCUUAGCAUGAUGAACAUGAAAAUUCUGUGUUAGGAUCAUUUGUGAGGUAGAAGCCAAAUACCGAGAAAAUAUCGUUAGAUAAUUUCCCGCUCCGCCUAUAACGUGUAGUACCGCGUUAUCUCACCCCUAACACUUCAUGUUGUCAUGUCAUGUAUCGUGAUGCAUUUGUCUUCUUUAUAUUUAUUAUAUCUCCCCCUC